GAAAAUCAAUAUUCUUUUUGCACCCUACACGAUCUCUUUUCACUUCAACAACGUUUUUGUAUUUCUUACCGUCAACUAAGAGUACAGAGUGUGACUAUGACCACUCUGAAUUUUUUGUGUGCUCUGCAGAAACGGAGCAGGGAGUUGCUCUGGCUAUAUUAAAAGGAGAAAUUGACUUCCAACGUGAUCCAUUUCCAAGUAUAUCAAGCAGUGCCAUAGAGUUGGUUCGCAGGAUGCUAACACUGGAUCCAAAAAGGCGGAUUACUGCUGCUCAAGUUCUAGGUAUAAAGCAUUGGAUCCUCAUGUUAUUAAUUUUUCUCAUUCAUUCUAUCUAUGCUGCUUUGAUUACUGCAAGUUAAAAUUUAUUGGUCUAUUUAAUAAUACAAAUGGUAUAGCUACCACUGAAAAAUGUAUAUGAUAUGCAGAGCACCCUUGGCUUAAAGAAAGUGGAGAAGCAUCAGAUAAGCCAAUUGAUACUGCUGUUAUUUUCAGGAUGAAGCAGUUUACGGCAAUGAAUAAACUAAAGAAACUUGCACUAAAGGUAAGUCUAACUGUCUAAGGCCCAUGAGUCCCUCCUAAAUGAGCUUAAACUUGAGAAAUACUUGGAUAGGAUUGAUAGAUAUAAAGGAAAGUGACAAAGCUUGUAUCUUAAGCACACGUGACAAAUAAUAUACAUGUGUCAAAAGAUUCUCCAAAUUAUAACAUGUAUGUGAAUCUAUACCUGAUGACAUUGUAUGCAUGUUCAUGACGACAUUUUAAUUCUAAAUAUUAUAACAGAAAUUUAUAUGACUGACUAUCAUGAGUUACAUGUUUGAUUGAAAUUUUGCAUCUACGCUUCCUCGUCAACAACAUUAUAUUGUAUUGUUGUAUUUUGAAAACUUGUGCAAGCCAAUAAAAAUUUAUGUAUUCUAUUGUGUUCGCCCUACUGAUAAACCAUGUGUUCUUUAGGUCAUUGUGGAAAAUCUUCCUACUGAAGAAAUACAAAAACUAAAAGAAAAAUUUACAGAGAUGGACACUGACAACAGUGGCACUCUUACUUACGAUGAAUUGAAGGAAGGAUUAGCUAAACUUGGAUCGACACUUACAGAAUUUGAUGUCAAGCAGUACAUGCAGGCUGUAAGUAAUUCAUGAACGCUGAGUUUAUCACACUGUCUGUCUAUUUGCAUUAUACCCAGCUGAUAUUGUUGGCUCUGCAUUUCUGCAGGCUGAUAUAGAUGGAAAUGGGACCAUUGACUACAUUGAGUUUAUAACAGCUACGAUGCAAAGGCACAAGCUACAAAGAUUUGAAAAUCUUUAUAAAGCCUUUCAGUACUUUGACAAGGAUAAUAAUGGGUAAGCUUCUCAUUUUAUUUUUAUUAUUAUAGAAGCAUGUUGAGCAUUAUUUGCAUCCUCAGUUUUUUCAUGAUCUGAAUGGGGAAUAUUGAAAACCUACUCCCUCCAUUAACUGGCUAAAAUUUAAUGGGUUAUAUCUGGAGUCAAUUGACUAAUUAAUGAAGUUUUUAUUCUAAAUGGCUAUGUAGAUAUAUCACGGUAGAUGAACUCGGAAAAGCUUUCAAAGAUUAUGGCAUGGGUGAUGAUGCCACAAUUGCUACAAUUAAAGAAAUAAUGUCUGAAGUUGACAGAGACAAAGUAAGUUGAUUUUCAGUUUCAAGGGCAUUAGUAAUUUGUCUUCAUUAUUGUAAGUCAAUUCCCACGCCUUUAAUUUGUGUAUACAGGAUGGUAGAAUCAGCUAUGAUGAAUUUCGUUCAAUGAUGAAAUGCGGAACCCAACUGCGAGCAUUGUCUUCUAGAUCUCUGGCUCAUGUUGUAACCGUAAGACGCAAGGUAUUCUGGUAGGUAAACUGUGUUGUUAUUCAUCGUUUUCUGUAUAUCUUUGUAAAUUUUGUUAUUGCAGUUUUGUGAGAGUGUAUUAGAACAAUAAUAGUCAUAUACGGAAUUGCACAAAAUUACCUUCUUCCCAUUUUCUUCUUACAGUCAAAUAAAUAAAUAUUAGGAAGUGAACAAAUUUUGUGAUGCAUACAUAGGCUCUGAAUAUUGUAGGAUCAAAAGAUUUAUGCAGUAUUUCUAUUAAGAUUUGUUUCUAUGAAAUAAAAUACAGUUGAAACAAAUACAUGGAUGAGUACACAUACAGUUGAAACAAAUACAUGGAUGAGUACACAUACAGUUGAAACAAAUACUUGGAUGAGUACACGCUUUAUUCUAUGAAUCUCCUUUGAUUCAAAAAAGGAAAAUGCAGAGAGGCGAGAGAGAAGACAUUGGCAAAAAUCACCAUCAUCACAGCAGCAAACGGGCACUUAAUAAAUUAGAAAGUCUUUCUUCUCGUCACAAUAAUUAACCUUUCUUGAUUUGCCCAAUUUUGUUAAAAUGUUAAGCCUAGAGAGAGCUUCGCCACUUAGCCAUUGCAACUUGGGGGUUUAAUUGCACUCGAAUCGCUAUUUCAGCCUCUGAGGAAGACGAAUUAGAGGACAAUGCCUGUGGGUCAGUGUGUUAACAUAAGCAAAAUUGUAAACGGCAGUGAUCCUUCAACAGCUUUGAAAACUCGCUCUUUUUAUCAAUCAAUUUCUUCAAGCUGAGACCUUGUUCAGAGAUGGAGAGGGGAACAACAAAGAGAGAAAAGGACUUGAAAAAUAAAAUAAAAAAUUGUUUGCAUUAAAUUAUUUGCAAAUCUAAGGUUAUUUUUUUAUUACUAGUGGAUAAUAUUAGGGGCAAAUAUAAUACAUUCAUCGGUCAACUAUGGUUUGACCAUAAAGAAAAAAACAAAAAACUAAUGACAUGAGGGUGGGGGGAUGACUUUUCCAAUAAUUGAACCAUAAUAAACCCCAAAAAAAACGCAUUUUUUACGAAUUAUUUUAUAUAUUAAAUGCAAUUAUCUUCAUAUUAUUAAUCUGUUAGAAGAUUUUUAUUGGGAAUAUUAAUUUUUGUACUAUUUAUAAAAUUUUUUAAACAAUAAUGAAUUAUGUGGGCUAUGUGUAUAUUUGAAAGAUAUAAUUUAAUUUAUUGAUUUUUUAAAUUUAUGGGGAGAAUAAAAAUAUGAAUGGAAUCUUUGUUAUUCAUUGUUUGAGUCAUGGGGAAGGUUCAUUAUCGGGUUACACCACCAUCAUUUAUUCAAACUUCUAUCCUAUCCCACGCGUUUCUUUUUCGCUGACCAUUUCGAACAAAAGCCAAAAAAUUUCAGAAUUUCUUACCAAAAAAAAUAAAGGGCCAAUAAAUUUUAACCAUAAUGACGCAUAGUUUGAUAGAAAAAAUACAUACGCGUACCAAUAUAUAGUUGAUAUCUCCGAAUUGGGCAAGCUGGAAUUGCUCUUUGUAUUUUAUUUUACUUUUCCUUAAAAUCUCACUUGAUUCCCUAUAAUUUAUCUUUGAUCUCAAGUGGAUUUGUUCCAGUUGACUUCUGUAAAGAUCCAGACAUCCAGAGUUAAGCUUGAGCUGAGCCUCUUAUGCAGAAAUGGGUGGCUGUUUAAGCAAAAUCCCGGGCUCCUCAAAGCCAGCAGCAGCCCGACAGCAGCAACCACCUAAACUAGAUGAUGCAAUUCUUGGUAAACCGUACGAGGAUGUCAGGUUGCAUUACACCAUUGGGAAAGAACUGGGUAAGGGAGCAUUUGCUGUUACAUAUCUUUGUACUGAGAAUUCAACCGGUUUGCAAUUUGCUUGCAAGUCUAUCUCUAAGAAAAAAAUUGUAGCUGCGUAUGAAAAGGAUGAUGUAAGAAGAGAGAUUGAGAUAAUGCGACAUUUGAGUGGGCAGCCUAAUAUAGUUCAAUUUAAGGGUGCUUAUGAGGACAGGCAUUCUGUGCAUAUUGUCAUGGAGUUAUGUGCUGGUGGUGAGCUAUUUGACCGAAUUAUAGCCAAGGGCCAUUAUAGUGAGAGAGAUGCGGCUUCUGUAUUCAGGGUAAUUAUGAAUGUUGUGAAUGUUUGCCACUCUAAGGGUGUUAUGCACAGGGAUCUCAAACCUGAGAAUUUCUUGUUCACUACCAGGGAUGAGAAUGCUGUUUUGAAGGCCACUGAUUUUGGGUUAUCAGUGUUCUUUGAAGAGGGUAAAUUUCUUCACCAUAUAUAUGUUUGUAUUUGAAAUCCAUUAUAGUCACCAUAUAUAUGUUUGUAUUUGAAAUCUUAUAUUUACAUACGUUCAUGUGAACCUAAGUUUCGAUGUUCAAUUAUGUCUGAUAAAUGAAUGGCAUUUCCAUUUAAUUUCAAUAGUGAAUUAGACAUGCAGUAUGCCGUGAGGCUUCAUGUAUUACUUUAGAUGAAAUCAUCAGAAAAUAAUGUGAAACUCUUAGGAUCACCAUGAAAGGCUUGUUUAAUCUAGCUAUCAACUUAUCCUUGUCUGAUGAUACCAUGGUGCACUUUCCAGGAAAGGUAUUCAGGGAUUUAGUUGGGAGUGCUUACUAUGUUGCUCCUGAAGUGUUACGGCGCAGAUAUGGGAAGGAAGCAGAUAUUUGGAGCACAGGAGUUAUACUGUAUAUUUUACUAUGUGGUGUGCCUCCAUUUUGGGCAGGUGAAGAUAUUCGUGUUGCCCCCUAGAGGAUCUCUUUUCCCUUCAACACACUAUACUUUUUCGUUACUAAUAUCCAGAAGUAUAGCAGUAAUCACUAAUCACUCACAAGUUAUGAUGUGCUCUGCAGAAACUGAGAAGGGCAUUUUUGAAGAAAUAUACAAAGGAGAAAUUGACUUUCAAACUGAUCCAUGGCCAAUUAUUUCAAGCAGUGCCAAGGAGUUGGUUCGCAGGAUGCUGACACAGAAUCCAAAAAGGCGGAUUACCGCUGCACAAGUUCUAGGUAUAAAACAUUAGAUUGUGAAUUUAUUAGUUUUUCUCGCCCAGGCUGCUUUGAUAAUUAUAAGUUAAACUUUAUUUAGUCCAGUUAAUGUUACCAAGAGUAUAAGUACCAUUGACAGCCAUAUGCAUGACAUACAGAACACCCUUGGCUUAAAGAAAGUGGAGAAGCAUCAGACAAGCCAAUUGACACUGCUGUUCUUUUCAGGAUGAAGCAAUUUAGGGCAAUGAAUAAACUAAAGAAACUCGCACUAAAGGUAAGUCCAAGGGCCUAUGAUCCUGUCCUUCUAAAUCUUAUGGGAGUGUGAUCUUGAGUCACAUGUUUGAUUAAAUUAUUACAACUUUACUUCCUCAUCAACAUGUUUUAUUUUAGAGCUUUUAUUAUAUCUUAUGAACUAUGUGCAAGUCCAAUGAAUGAAUGCAUUUGAUUGUGCUCCCCUGGCCCUACUGAUAAACUAAUUGGAUCGUAAAUAUAAUUGUAAAGGUCAUAGUGGAAAAUCUUCCGACUGAAGAAAUACAAAUGCUCAAGGAAAAAUUUACAGAGAUGGACACUGACAAGAGUGGUGCACUUAGUUAUGGUGAACUGAAGGCAGGAUUAGCUAAACUUGGAUCGACACUUAGAGAAGUUGAUGUCAAGCAGUACAUGCAAGCUGUAAGCAAUUCAUCAACUCUGAAUUAAUAUUUUAGUCUGUCUAUAUGCAUUAUAGUUGGCUGAUGUUGUUGGCUCCACAUUUCAGGCUGAUAUAGAUGGAAAUGGGACUAUUGACUACAUUGAAUUUAUCACUGCUACAAUGCAAAGACACAAGCUAGAAAGAUUCGAACAUCUUGACAAAGCCUUUCAAUAUUUUGAUAAGGAUAAUGAUCGGUUAGUUUCUUGUUCUAAAAUGUAAAAUUAGAAAACGACCCUUUGGCACUUUGACUGCUCUGUAUACAGCCCAAGAAAAACCUUUGUUAUGCUUUUUGUAUAACAUGAACUGAAACAUAUAUAAUAUUAUCAGAAUUUAAAACAAAAGAAAAAAUCUUUUUGUGGUGGCUUCUGUAAUUGGUUAAAAAGAAAACUUACCCCAAAAUCAAUAUCAGAAGUGAAGUUAGGGAAUUAAGUACUGCAGUUCUUUCUCAAAAUGCUGUGCAGCUAUAUCACAGUCGAUGAACUGGAAAUAGCAUUUAAAGAAUACAACAUGGGUGAUGAUGCCACAAUUAAAGAAAUAAUGUCUGAAGUUGAUAGAGACAAAGUAAGUCGAUUCUUACUUUUGAACAUGUUUAAUUUGUCCGCAUUAUUGUUGUUAUAAGCUUAGUUCUCACAUCUUUUGUGUUUAUAGGACGGCAGGAUCAGCUAUGAUGAAUUUUGUGCAAUGAUGAAAAGGGGAACACAACCGCGAGAAUUCUCUUCCAGAUCUCUGUCUCAUGUUGUAACCAUGAGACGCAAGAUUUUAUGGUAGAUAAACUGUACGUGCCAUUCAAUAGUUUUCCAAAUACAUGGUGUUAUAUUUGUCUAAACUAAACAGGGCAUUACGGUGCCACUAUCCGAGUGGUGAAUUUUUGUCUUCAAAUUUGAAUCGAGUCCCAUGCGGCUCAAAGUGCCAUGAUGUCUUGUUUAGUUUAGAUAAGUACAACAUCAAGUUCUUGGAAUCUUGGAUCCAAUUGUACAGUACGGAUUGAAUCUACUACUCGAUUACUUCGACGAUAUCGAUGUAUCGUCAUUUUUUUUUUUGGUGAAUAAUUUGAGCUGUAAAUAAUUAUGCAACUUAAAUAUUGUAAGGAAUCGGGUGUUUACGUGAUUUAUUAUUAUUUUUGUAAUGAGACGAGAAGAAUAAAUAUGAACAGAAAGAGUAAAUUGUUGUUGAUAUUUAUCAGUUUUUAAAUUCAUUUAAUUAAUGUGUGCUUUUACAGAUUUUUUUCGAUCCCAAAUGGAUUUGCUUGGUAUUGUGCAAAUUAACAUUUGGCCCGUAUAAUUAUGUUAACGGAAUUGAAUUAUAAAAUUUGAAAGAAUAAAUUGUAUAGAGUAAUUAUCAGAAAUCUUAACUCUUAAGUGACUGUACGAACCUUCGAUUAAAGACAUUGAAAAUUUAUUUUUACCCAUUACCCAUCAAUUUGGUACGUGAAAUUUGAAGAACCUGUUUGGUUCAUAAAUUAACUAAUAAUUACGAAAGUAAAGCUGGGUGUAGUGCAUGGUUUUGUGGAAAUACGAGGCAUGUUGAAGUAUUCUUAAAAAAUAAGGGGCCUAGUGGGGUAUUAGGCUAGAAAACAGGGGUGUGGUGUGAUAACUGAAAAUAUUAUUUUUGGACCUUUUUUUAGUGAGGAGGAGGCCAGACAAGACAAGUGGACAACAGGACAAGUGCAAGUGCCCGACUCCGCCCGAUCUUCUCCUCCCUCAUCUCUCUAUUUUUAUUUUUUUUUCAUUUUUCCUUUUUUUUCCCCUCAUAGUUAGUUUGCAUUUUUAUGCAGAAGUUUGAACUUGGAAUAUUUUCAAUCUUCUAAAAAGCUUUGUUAACUCAGUUGUUUGGAAAUAAUAAAUAAUUGUUAUCAAUGAGGAAUCAGAAGUUCUCCAAUGUUACUAUAUGCUGUCUCUUUGCCGCCUGCAACCAGUGGCCAAAUCAUAAUCUUUGAUUUGAUGGUUAUUUUGUUAUAAAUAGUAACUAACAGAGGUUACAGGAUGAUAAAGACUGCUUUUGAGGAUAACUUUGUACAUAGAGGGGUCAUUUUGGUUGAAUGACAUCUAACAGGGGCGAAAAUACAAAUAAGAUAUACACGGGCCCUGCCUUCAAUAUUUUUUGCUAUUUUUUGAUUACACAGAUAUUGUAAUCAGAAGCUUAUUGAUAUACAAUUGAUAUACAAUCAGACACUUAUCGGGAUUUUUUUUGUCUUUUGCUGCAGUUGUAGGACACAGUCUGAAUAUUCUUUCCUCACAUACUAUUGGAGGACACCCGACUCUGCUUUUUUUGUCUUUUGCUACAGUUUUAGGACGAAGUCUGAAUAUUCUUUAUUCACAUACUAUUGGAGGACGCCCUACUCCCAAGCAAAGGAAUAUCGACUCCAUUCUAAGAGAUAAUCGAGUCCUAUCAAAGCUAGGACUUGAACCUAGGAACAUUCAAGUCACUCGAAGUUGAGUGGCUGGACUGUUGCCAAUGGACUAAGAGCCUAUUGGAAAAUUGGGAGAAGUUUAGUUAAUAAUCAUUGAUCAUUGAAGGUUCUGUUUUUAGUGUUAGUUUGUAAUAACAAGCUUCUAUCAUAUGAUUUUAUCUCAGUCACUUAAGUCAAUGUAGAGUUGGCUCAAUGUGACCAAAAAUAAAACUCCAAUGUUACUUACAUUUUCUGGUUAUGGUUUGUUGAAGUUUAAGUGUUUUUUUAAUUUAAGUUUUUUGAUUGAGUAAUUAGUCUGAUACUGAGGAGUUUUAUGGCAGCUGAAUUUGGUACAGAUUACAAAGGAUCGAUCAUGGAUCAAGAAUUACCAACAACCAUGGACCAUGAACUACUCAAUGUAUUAAGACGUGAGGAUGAACAUCAAAUCAGGCUACUCGCAGUUCGAAUGCAAAAUAUUUUCAGCACAAUGAGUCCCCGAGGCAACAUAGUGCUUCAUAUGGCUAUCAGAUUUCAAAAACAUAAAGUGGUACAGGAGAUUCUCUGGCGACAGCUUUCACUUCUCCGGAAGAACAACUGGAAGGGAGAGACUGCAUUGCUUAUUGCUGCCAGGGCUGGUGACCCUGCUAUCGUUAGUACACUCUUGAAUUAUGUGCCGGCAGUUAAAAAUGGAACGGAAGCAGAACCAGAGAGCCUUUUAAGGAUGACAGAAUUUGAAGGCAACACUUCUCUGCAUAAUGGGGUAGGGGAGUAUUUUAUCAAACUGUACAAAAGUUUACAUGCCAGGGGUACGGGGGUAUUUUCCAAAAUAAAGGGGUAAUGGGGUAUUGAGCCAAACAUCAGGCAGCAUUGAGCAAUUUACAAGCAAAUUAUUAUAAGCAGCACAUAUAUUAUAGUUUUGUUUAGCAACUCGGAAGUGUUUUUAAUAGAGGACAGUAGAAUUGGCUACACAGCGGUCUUCUUCUAACAAAUCUCAUUCUAAAUUUCAAAGAAUCAAUUUAAAGGCAGAAACUAUGAUGUAAGCUGUAUACAUCUUGGGUCCUGCAUAUUCUUUGAAAUUGCCCAUCUGUGAAAGUCAAAUCCUGAGGUCCUGUCUUGCAUCCUCUGUGGUGGUGGCGGCCAGAAAUGGGUUGCAUUUUCAGCACAAGCCAAGACUCAGACCGCCCAGCAGCAUGCCAACUCCAUGAUGCAAUUCUUGGUAAAGCUUAUGAGGACGGUAAGUUACAUUAUACUAUUGGCAAAGAAUUGGAUAAUGGUGAAUUUGGUAUAACUUUUCUAAUUGUCUUUGUAUUGAGAAUUCAACCGGUUUGCAGUUUGCUUGCAAGUCUAUUUCUAAAAGAAAAUUGGUAAAAGAUUAUGAAAAGGAUGAUGUAAGAAGAGAGGUUGCGGUAAUGCAAUAUUUGAGUGGGCAGCCUAAUAUAGUUAAAUUCAAGGCUGCUUAUGAGGAUGACCAAUUUGUGCUAUUGUUAUGGAAUUAUGUGCUGGUGGUGAGUUAUUUGAUCGAAUUGUAGCCAGGGGCCAUUAUAGCGAGAGAUCUGCGGCUUCUGUAUUCAGGGUAAUUAUGAAUGUUGUGAAUGUUUGGCGUUCUUAGGGGUGUUAUGCACAGAGACCUCAGACCUGAGAAUUUCUUGUUCACCAGCAUGGACGAGAAUGCUGUUUUGAACGCCAAUGAUUUUGGGUUAUCAGUGUUCAUUGAAGAGGGUAAAUUUCUCGUCCUUCCUUGCAUAUUAUCUAUGUUUAGAUUUUACUGAAUAUAGUAGUCCCUCAUGCCAGUAGAAUUUUCUGAUAUAUAUCAUUUGAGUAAGCCGUAACUCAGCAUAAUGUAUUGAUUUAGGUGAAAAUCAUAACAAAAUAAUGAAAAACUCUUGGGAUCACCAUGAAAGGCAUAUUUAAUUAAUCUAGCUAUUAAUCUAUCCUUUUUUGAUUAUCGCAUGAUACAUUUUCCAGGAAAGGCAUACAGAUAAAUAGUCGGAAGUCCUUACUAUAUUGCUCCCGAAGUAUUAUGGCAAAGUUAUGGGAAGGAAGCAGACAUUUGGAGCGCAGAAGUUAUAUUGUAUAUUUUAUUGUGUGGUGUACCUCCCAUUUGGGCAGGUGACAAUCAAUAUUCAUUUUGCACCCUACAGGAUCUCUUUUCACUUCAACAACGUAUUUGUAUUUCUUACUGUCAACUAAGAGUACAGAGUGUAACUAUGACCACUCUGAAUAUUUUAUGUGCUCUGCAGAAACGGAGCAGGGAGUUGCUCAGGCUAUAUUAAAAGGAGAAAUUAACUUCCAACAUGAUCCAUUUCCAAGUAUAUCAAGCAGUGCCAUAGAGUUGGUUCGCAGGAUGCUAACAC
rnacentral:lncRNA from 1 species